rnacentral:rRNA from 1 species
GUGGGGAAUCUUAGACAAUGGGGGAAACCCUGAUCUAGCCAUGCCGCGUGAGCGAUGAGGGCCUUAGGGUUGUAAAGCUCUUUCAGCUGGGAAGAUAAUGACGGUACCAGCAGAAGAAGCCCCGGCUAACUCCGUGCCAGCAGCCGCGGUAAUACGGAGGGGGCUAGCGUUGUUCGGAAUUACUGGGCGUAAAGCGCACGUAGGCGGAUCAGAAAGUCAGAGGUGAAAUCCCAGGGCUCAACCUUGGAACUGCCUUUGAAACUCCUGGUCUUGAGGUCGAGAGAGGUGAGUGGAAUUCCGAGUGUAGAGGUGAAAUUCGUAGAUAUUCGGAGGAACACCAGUGGCGAAGGCGGCUCACUGACUCGAUACUGACGCUGAGGUGCGAAAGCGUGGGGAGCAAACAGGAUUAGAAACCCCAGUAGUCC